rnacentral:rRNA from 1 species
GUGGUAAUGCCGGAUGUUCCACAUGAUCGCAUGUGAUUGUGGGAAAGAUUCUAUCGGCGUGGGAUGGGGUCGCGUCCUAUCAGCUUGUUGGUGAGGUAACGGCUCACCAAGGCUUCGACGGGUAGCCGGCCUGAGAGGGCGACCGGCCACAUUGGGACUGAGAUACGGCCCAGACUCCUACGGGAGGCAGCAGUGGGGAAUAUUGCACAAUGGGCGCAAGCCUGAUGCAGCGACGCCGCGUGAGGGAUGGAGGCCUUCGGGUUGUAAACCUCUUUUGUUUGGGAGCAAGCCUUCGGGUGAGUGUACCUUUCGAAUAAGCGCCGGCUAACUACGUGCCAGCAGCCGCGGUAAUACGUAGGGCGCAAGCGUUAUCCGGAUUUAUUGGGCGUAAAGGGCUCGUAGGCGGCUCGUCGCGUCCGGUGUGAAAGUCCAUCGCUUAACGGUGGAUCUGCGCCGGGUACGGGCGGGCUGGAGUGCGGUAGGGGAGACUGGAAUUCCCGG